rnacentral:rRNA from 1 species
GGGUGAGUAACACGUAGGUAAUCUACCUUUGGAUUGGGGAUAGCCCAUGGAAACAUGGGGUAAUACCGAAUAAAUCGUAUACCGUAGAGGUAAACGGGAAAGGCGCUUUGGCGCCGUCCGGGGAUGAGCCUGCGGCUUAUUAGUUAGUUGGUAGGGUAACGGCCUACCAAGGCGACGAUAAGUAGCCGGCCUGAGAGGGUGAACGGCCACACUGGGACUGAGACACGGCCCAGACUCCUACGGGAGGCAGCAGCUAAGAAUCUUCCGCAAUGGACGCAAGUCUGACGGAGCGACGCCGCGUGGGUGAAGAAGGCCGAAAGGUUGUAAAGCCCUUUUCUUGCUGAAGAAUAAGGGCAGGAGGGAAUGCCUGUCCGAUGACGUUAGGUGAGGAAUAAGCCCCGGCCAAUUACGUGCCAGCAGCCGCGGUAACACGUAUGGGGCGAGCGUUGUUCGGAAUCAUUGGGCGUAAAGGGCGCGCAGGCGGUUAAAUAAGCCUGGUGUGAAAGGCUACGGCUCAACUGUAGUUUCGCGCUGGGAACUGUUUGACUAGAGUUCUGGAGGGGAAGCUGGAAUUCCUGGUGUAGGGGUGAAAUCUGUAGAUAUCAGGAAGAACACCGGUGGCGAAGGCGAGCUUCUAGCCAAGAACUGACGCUGAGGCGCGAAAGCGUGGGGAGCGAACAGGAUUAGAUACCCUGGUAGUCCACGCUGUAAACGAUGUGCACUGGGUGUUGGCCCUUGAGGGUCAGUGCCGAAGCUAACGCGAUAAGUGCACCGCCUGGGGAGUAUGCUCGCAAGGGUGAAACUCAAAGGAAUUGACGGGGGCCCGCACAAGCGGUGGGGCAUGUGGUUUAAUUCGAUGAUACGCGAGAAACCUUACCAGGGCUUGACAUAUACCAGACGUUACGAGAGAUCGUGAUUCCCUUCGGGGCUGGUAUACAGGUGCUGCAUGGCUGUCGUCAGCUCGUGCCGUGAGGUGUUGGGUUAAGUCCCGCAAAGAGCGCAACCCUUGUUGUCUGUUGUUCACAGGUAAUGGUGAGGAGUCAGACGGAACUGCCGGUGACAAACCGGAGG